GUAAACGGCGGCCGUAACGAUAACGGUCUAAGGUAGCGAAAUUCCUUGUCGGGUAAGUUCCGACCUGCACGAAUGGCAUAAUGAUGGCGCGCUGUCUCCACCAGAGACUCAGUGAAAAUCGAAAUCGCGGUGAAGAUGCCGUGUACCCGCGGCUAGACGGAAAGACCCCGUGAACCUUUACUGCAGCUUUGCACUGAACUUUGACCUUACUUGUGUAGGAUAGGUGGGAGGCUAUGAAACUCGGACGCCAGUUCGAGUGGAGCCAUCCUUGAAAUACCACCCUGGUAAAUGUUUGAGGUUCUAACCCAGUCCCGUUAUCCGGGACGGGGACAGUGUAUGGUGGGUAGUUUGACUGGGGCGGUCUCCUCCUAAAGAGUAACGGAGGAGUACGAAGGUGCGCUCAGCGUGGUCGGAAAUCACGCACUGAGUAUAAAGGCAAAAGCGCGCUUAACUGCGAGACCCACAAGUCGAGCAGGUACGAAAGUAGGUCUUAGUGAUCCGGUGGUUCUGUAUGGAAGGGCCAUCGCUCAACGGAUAAAAAGGUACUCUGGGU
rnacentral:rRNA from 1 species